rnacentral:lncRNA from 1 species
UUUUGUUGUGAAAGCCUACAACAUAAUAUUUCUGUUUUCGUUUUCUUAAAUCAUUAUCCGUUAUGUUAAAGUCAAAUUUUGUACAACAUUUUUUUAAAAUAUACUGUAACAACAUUUUUCUAAAAAAUACGUGACAACUUACAGAAUCUGUGUGUCACAUUGUAUUCUCCGUGUUCGGAUCCUAUCCCACACUGGUAAAUACCCAGAUAAUGAUUACCAAAUGAAAUGUCUUAACUUUGGAGGUGCAUUCUAGUUUCCAUGUAUGUGUUUGCAACGCCUUUAUAUCAGGACCAUAGAACACCUCCGAAAAACUAUCUGAGUCUCAGUCUGAUACCCUGAUUUUACCAUAGACCUACUAGAUUUGGUGAAAUGUCAGGCAAUAGAAUCUGGUCAGUACGUCAUACUAAUAGGGAUUCCAUGAAUAAUUUCUAAAUCCACUGGAUUAAUAAUUGCAGUUGUCAAUUCUAGAUUCCACGUAUUUAUAAUUGGAUUAAUCAAAUGAUUAAGAUUCAGGUAAUAAUUAAAACCCUUACAAUUUGCUGAUCUUGGGUGAGAAGAUGGAAUCCAGGAAUAGUUCCAUACUGAGAUAGAACAACCUGACCCAACUCUUUUGAUAAGUCAUUUGCUAAACAGAGAUAUAGCUGAAAUUAUACUUCACCAGCCAUAAGAUGGUGAAUAUGAACGUAUGGGGUCCAAAGGAGUUUCACUCCGAAAAUAUCGUCCCUUAAAGAUCCGCGCAAAAAGUGAAUUUGGCCUAUCAAUUAAUCGCCAUAAUUGUUUUGCUAGAAGUGACGUAUUAAAGUCACACCUAUAUUCCCUUCAUUCUUACCUCUGCACAUAUUUUUCAUGCUAUCCAGUGCAAUUCUUUGUUAUGACCAUUAGAGCUCCACCAAUAUUUUGCUGCUGCACUUGUUAAUUUUACCGUCGUUCUCUUAGGUAACCGAAAACAUGACAUAACAAAAGUAGACAUUGUUGAUGCUACAUAUUUAAUCAACAAUUCUUUUCCCCCUUUUAAUAAUAAUCGUAAUGUCCAACUAUUAAUCCAGUUGUAUUGCCUUUCUACCACAAAAUAAAAAAUAUUACUCUUUGCACCACCCAGAUUCUGCGGGAUGACCAGAUAUGACCCCGUUUCUCUGUUACGACAGAUUCCUAGGAUUUGCUUCAAGUUUUGUUGUACAUCUAUCAGGACUGUAUAAUUGAAUUGAACUGAGGAUUUGUCAAAGUUAAUUUAUUGACCUGAAACCCUUUCGUACUGAUUUAGUAUGGCAAAAUAUUCUGAUAUUCCUCCUUGGUUACUUUACAGAAGAAUAAACUAUCAUCCGUAAAAAGUAAAUGUGAGAAUGUUGGAUUUACUUUUGCAAUCUUCGGUUUCGUUAACAAUUUUUCCACCUCAGCUUUCCGUAUAUUAAUUAUUAAGAUUUUGUACAUAAUGUAAAUAGGUAUGGUGAUAAAGAGUCUUCUUGACGAACUCUCUUUAAAUAGGUAUGGCGAUAAAAGGGUCUUUUUGACGAAUUCCCUUCCUGACUUUAUUUGUUUAUGUGGCUGUUCAUUCAGUAGAACUUUCUACUAAUCAUCUCUUUAUGAGAUCUAAAAAUAAAUCUAGGGAUUAAUAUGUAAAGGUGGAAAUCGUUUUGUUAACUGAUUUCUUAAUAAUAAUAUGUGAUUUGGUGUAUGACACUUACCAUGUUCUACAAUUUUUUAAUAUUUUUUUCGUCUAAAUUACCAUUCUUAAAUUUUUCAAGUCGGUUUAAUAUAUGUUUAGUCUAUAUUACUAAUAUGUAUUCACUAUUCGGGUAAAAGUUUCAAAAAUAAGUUUGAAAUUGAUUAAGUUUUUUUUUUUCUUCCUAACAGGGUUUAUUUUUAAAACUCAACUAAAUAGAUCCUUACUGUUAUAAAAAAUACUAUCUAACACUUUAAAAUAAAAUGCUCUACAAUAUUUUAUUGAAUUAUUGAAAAGAAAGUAAAUAUUUUCCAUAAAUUAAAAUUAAAAAUAAUAUUAAUUUUGAACUGUUUUUCAAAAUUGCACCAGGGUUAUUUGCAAAAGAAGAAGAAAAUCUAGAUGACAAAUAUUUGUAUAUAUUUUAAUUUGAAUUCGGAUACAUUUAGUUAACGAUUUUCGAUGAAUAGCAAUAACUAAAUAUUUGGUUAGAUUUUUAUAAAUAAAUAGAUAGAUAAUAAGAAAGUAAUCCAAUUUUUAAUUUGUAGCUUAUUAACAUCAUCUACUUUGUAGCUAAUAGAGUGUUUAUUCUAAAAUAACCCAAAUUAUGGUUCAGUAUUUUCUGGUUGUUUUUUUGUCUUUUCUAGCUACUAAUUUUAAUAAAUACUAGGAGAGAACACGCGCAUACGCGCAUGUCUUGUUUUAAUUUAUAUUUUAAAUAAUUUUAUUGAAUUUUAUGUUUACUAUUAAUGUAUUUUUGUUUAAAAUAUUUAUAUUUUCUUUAAUUUCUUUUUGAUGAUACAUUAUUUGUAAUCUCUUCUUUACCAGUUGUGUCAAAUAGUCUAAUUUCUGAUCUUCAUGAUCUUUUUAUUCUUGUAAAUCUUACUAAUAUAAUAUUUGUUAAUUUUUUAAAAUUUACUAUUUGAUUUGGUUAUCUAUAUUUUAUUGAUUCCAUCUAUUUUUAUUAUUUUAAAAAACAUAUAUGAUAUUUUUAUGUACAUACUUUUCUUUUUAUUAUUAUUUUUUAGUAACUUUUAUCUUUUUAAUCAUUUAUUAAAUAUGAUAUGUGUAUUAUAAUUUAAUAGUUGAAUUUUUAUAUAAGAUCAUUUGAAAACUUUUUAACUUAUUCAAUCUCAUAUUUUUGUCAGUUGCAUAAAAAUUUUAUUAUAUUUUUAGCUUGUAAAUGAAGUUUAAACAUUUGAAAAAAGAAAAUAGAAUUGUGAAUUUAAAAAGUCUUGUAUUAUAUAAUUAUAAGUUUUUAUAUAUUUAAAUUAAAUUUGAAUUUCAUUAUAUAUAUUAAUUUUUAUUUAUAUGUGUUUUAACGUGUUUGCUUUAAAUAUGAUUAAUUAUUUAUUUUAUUAAUAUUUGAAAAGGACAGGUGACGCUCUCUCCAGUGCCGACGUGUCGCUUAACUGGAGAGAGUUGGCCAAGUUUUAUAUAUAAGAAAAGAUUUGUUAUCAUAUUCUUUUUCUUUUCUAUUUUGUCAUUUUUUUUAUUUUUGAUAAUUUAUUAUCUUUUCGAUUGUUUAAUAAAUGUUUUUUUGUGUUUUGUGAUUUUAUAACUCUAAAAAACUUGUUCUUUAUUUGUUUGAAAUUUCUUAAUCUAUUAUUCUUAUUUUGGGUUUCAUUACUUAUCUUUUUUCUUUACUUUUUAUGAAUAAAUUAUCUUUGUUAAUUAAAAAAUAUGAAUAAAUCACAUAGAAAAAAAAGAGUAGAUAAAACAAAAAUCUCAAGUUAUUUUUGUUUUAUACAUUGUGAUGUUUAAUUUAAAUUUAAAUUUAGUUUAUAUUAUUUUGAUGAUUUAAUAUUUUUAACAUAAUGAAAAUGAAAUUAAAUUCUGUUUAUGCAUUAAUAAUAUAAAUAAUUUUUUGGGACAGGUGUCAUUCUCUCUAAUGCUGAUGUGUCAUUUAGCUGGAGAGAGUUGAGCAAUUUUUAUAUAUAAGAUUCACAAUCUAUUGUAGUGUGUUCUUCUCAAAUUGUAUGUGAACUUGUUCAACUGAGCAAAAUGAAGUAUUUUUCUAUCCUUAGAUGCAAAUCCGUAAUAUGGAUUGUGAUUGUCUUCAAGUAUGAAAUCAACAUAGUAUUUUUUUUUUUCUCUGAUGAUCAUGAAAGAACACAUAAACUACAAAGGUGUAUUUCAAAAAAAAAAACUACAAAGACGUAAUGUAAAAGCAAAAGUAGGGAACCAAAAUGAGGUUGAGUAGAUAAAGCAGACUUGCAGAGUCUGUUCUACCUUUUCAAAAUAAUCAAUUUCACUAUGCAACUAAAAAUGUGACCGUAGAGUUUCACUUCAAAACCACCAAAAAAAGAAGGAAGAAAUAUAAUAUGGUAAUGGAACCUCUCUUCAUAAAGGAAUACAGAUUUCAUACUUUGAUUUCCAUGAUCACAUCAGGAUUUCAAGAGUGAAGCUAAAGAGAGUUUUCAGGUCCUUCAAAAGCUCCAUGCUGAUGAAAAAAUGACCGCUUGUUACAAUGGAUUAAGGUUAAUAAUAAGAAAAAUCGAUAACAGGUUUCAGACUGUUCAAAACAAAACAAAACAAAAAAAACCAGGUCUGAGACCACACCAACAAACCUGAUUUAAAGAAGAGUCAAUUAGCUUCGAACCAUUCUCUACCUUCAAUAUGUUGUUACACACAUCUUUUCUGCAACGAAUUUCAGAAAUACAAAAAGUUAUCAAUUGUGUUUUUCAAAAUAGAAUGAAAAAAAUGAUGAGAGAUAUCAGGUAUGUGAAUAGAUAGAAUCACUGCAAAUGCUAAGACUAUAGUCGCCACAUAAAAUAAAAUAUUCUUCUCGAAUAUUGAUAAAUAACAAAUUGCAGUCAAAAUUGAUAACUUGAUAUAUCCCAGACAAAAGAAAACCCUUUCUAGUUAAAAAAAAACCCUCGAUAUAAAUAAAACAAAAAGUAAGCAUGACAAUCACCACUACGAAAACCAACAUUGAUGCCUUAAAAUACCUAUAUGCUUUCGGUUUUAGAAGGCUCUGAAUAAGUGUUCAUCCAAAAUUCAUGUAAUCAAUUGUUCAAGUAUCG